UGAGUAACCUGCCCUUCACUCUGGAAUAACUCCGGGAAACCGGGGCUAAUACUGGAUAUGACUCGAACAGGCAUCUGUUUCGGGUGGAAAGAUUUAUUGGUGGAGGAUGGACUCGCGGCCUAUCAGCUUGUUGGUGAGGUAAUGGCUCACCAAGGCGACGACGGGUAGCCGGCCUGAGAGGGCGAUCGGCCACACUGGGACUGAGACACGGCCCAGACUCCUACGGGAGCA
rnacentral:rRNA from 1 species